UACGUAGGGUGCGAGCGUUGUCCGGAAUUAUUGGGCGUAAAGGGCUCGUAGGCGGUUUGUCGCGUCGGGAGUGAAAACACCGGGCUUAACUCGGUGCUUGCUUUCGAUACGGGCAGACUAGAGGUAUGCAGGGGAGAACGGAAUUCCUGGUGUAGCGGUGAAAAUGCGCAGAUAUCAGGAGGAACACCGGUGGCGAAGGCGGUUCUCUGGGCAUUACCUGACGCUGAGGAGCGAAAGUGUGGGGAGCGAACAGG
rnacentral:rRNA from 1 species